UACAGAGGUCUCAAGCGUUGUUCGGAUUCAUUGGGCGUAAAGGGUGCGUAGGUGGCGUGGUAAGUCGGGUGUGAAAUUUCGGAGCUUAACUCCGAAACUGCAUUCGAUACUGCUGUGCUUGAGGACUGGAGAGGAGACUGGAAUUUACGGUGUAGCAGUGAAAUGCGUAGAGAUCGUAAGGGAGACCAGUGGCGAGGGCGGGUCUCUGGACAGUUCCUGACCCUGACGCUGAGGCGCGAAGGCCAGGGGAGCGAACGGG
rnacentral:rRNA from 1 species